rnacentral:rRNA from 1 species
UACGGGAGGCAGCAGUGGGGAAUAUUGCACAAUGGGCGCAAGCCUGAUGCAGCCAUGCCGCGUGUAUGAAGAAGGCCUUCGGGUUGUAAAGUACUUUCAGUCGUGAGGAAGGUGUUAAGGUUAAUAACCUUAGCAAUUGACGUUAGCGACAGAAGAAGCACCGGCUAACUCCGUGCCAGCAGCCGCGGUAAUACGGAGGGUGCGAGCGUUAAUCGGGAUUACUGGGCGUAAAGGGCACGCAGGCGGUUAAUUAAGUUGGAUGUGAAAUCCCCGGGCUUAACCUGGGAAUGGCAUUCAAGACUGGUUAGCUAGAGUCUUGUAGAGGGGGUAGAAUUCCAUGUGUAGCGGUGAAAUGCGUAGAGAUGUGGAGGAAUACCGGUGGCGAAGGCGGCCCCUGGACAAAGACUGACGCUCAUGUGCGAAAGCGUGGGGAGCAAACAGGGAUUAGAUACC